GACGAACGCUGGCGGCGUGGAUUAGGCAUGCAAGUCGAACGGUAUCAUCCUUUCGGGGAUGAGAGAGUGGCGAACGGGUGAGUAACACGUAGGUGAUCUACCCUCAAGACGGGGACAACCCAGGGAAACUUGGGCUAAUACCGGAUGUGAGCUAUCGCGAGAUAGUUUGAAAGGUGGCUUCGGCUGCCGCUUGGGGAUGAGCCUGCGUCCUAUUAGCUAGUUGGUGAGGUAACGGCUCACCGAGGCAGUGAUAGGUAGGCGGCCUUAACGGGUGGUCGCCCACACUGGGAUUGAGAUACGGCCCAGACUCCUACGGGAGGCAGCAGUCGAGAAUAGUCUACAAUGGUCGAAAGACUGAUAGUGCGACGCCGCGUGAACGAAGAAGCCCUUCGGGGUGUAAAGUUCUUUUAUAUGUGAGCAGUGCUUCUUAUAUUAACAGUAUGGGGAGAGAGAUAUUAGCAUAUGAAUAAGCAACGGCUAACUCCGUG
rnacentral:rRNA from 1 species